rnacentral:rRNA from 1 species
GGUUGACCUCGGAUCAGGUAGGGAUACCCGCUGAACUUAAGCAUAUCAAUAG